rnacentral:tRNA from 1 species
CAGGUGGUAGCUUAGUGGUUAGAGCUACUGCCUCUGGACCCGAAGGUUGCGGGUUCAAUUCCCACCCCUGG